UUAGUACGGCGAGUGAACCGGGAUGAGCUCAAAUUUAAAAUCUGGCGUCUUUCAGGCGUCCGAGUUGUAAUCUAUAGAGGCGUUUUCCGCGCCGGACCGCGUCCAAGUCUCUUGGAAUAGAGUAUCAAAGAGGGUGACAAUCCCGUACUUGACGCGACAACCGGUGCUCUGUGAUACGUUCUCAAUGAGUCGAGUUGUUUGGGAAUGCAGCUCUAAAUGGGUGGUAAAUUCCAUCUAAGGCUAAAUAUUGGCGAGAGACCGAUAGCGAACAAGUACCGUGAGGGAAAGAUGAAAAGCACUUUGGAAAGAGAGUUAAACAGCACGUGAAAUUGUUAAAAGGGAAACGAUUGAAGUCAGUCGUGUGAAAGGUAUUCAGCCGUCUCUGGCGGUGUAUUUGCCUUUCACGGGUCAACAUCAGUUUGAUCCGGUAGAAAAAGGCAGGAUGAAGGUGGCACCCUCGGGUGUGUUAUAGCUUCCUGUCAUAUGUGCCGGACCAGACUGAGGAACGCAGCUUGCCGCAAGGCCGGGGUUCGCCCACGUACAAGCUUAGGAUGUUGACAUAAUGGCUUUAAACGACCCGUCUUGAACC
rnacentral:rRNA from 1 species